GAGAGAGCGGUUGGGGAGACACACGUAAUCUUUGUCUCGGAGAGAACAUGGCGCCGGGAAGAGAGGCACAGCUACAUCCGGUUUUGUUUCGCGGACUUUUUCCUGCUGGACCUCCAUCGACAUUUGUCCCGAUCCCUGUGAAAUAGACGCAAACGCGUUAAACUGCUGCAAAGCAAGUGGACACUGACCUGACAAAAGAUGUACGGCCCGCUGAAGCUCAUGGACGACGUGUCCAAGUCAUGAUCUUUAUAAAGAGGGGAGGGGAGGUCAUCACUGUUCCAGCAACUCCUGCUCUGAUCGGCGCACGUCGUCUCAGUGCCCGUGGUUGGCCAAAGCAGGGCUUCUGAGGAGCUGCAAGGGGGAGAAAGGUCGAUACGCGGUCGAGGUGCUGCACGCUACAAAUGGACGUCUUCUCGCUCUGCAUGAGGGUCGGGGACGAGUGAGACUGAAUCGGAAGAAAAGCUUACAGUCCACCCGUCCUCGACCUGCGUCCUGAAGCUGAGCUGAUACGAGAGGUUCUGGUUCAGGGAGGACGAUGGAGGAUACGGACUGGACCACUUCAGCCGGUAGCUGCCAUCGCUGUCCUCAGACGCAGUCAGACCGCCAGGCGGACGUGCCCUCACUGUGCAACACCACCAAACAACACCACCAUCACUGCGAGGCUUCGUUUUGCUCUACAUGACCUACUGCUGUACAUCUAGUUGAUGCUCACGGUGCUGAACGAGAUCCAGAGACGUGUGUUUGGAAGACGAGCAGAGGCUCGUUGUCUGGUUGUUCACAAAGAAGACGACGGAUACUUACUGUUGUUUGAGCUGCUGCUGCUGCUGUCAUGAACGCCACAGUGGUCCAAACCGGAGAGGAGAGCCCGAGUCGGGAGAACCAACCACAUCAAGACCUGGAGGAGAGCCAUCCCUUCAGGGUUCACGGAGCCUCGAUUCUUUUCGUUUCAGUGAUCCAGAUCAGCUGCGUUUCUUCCACAUCAUCAAGGCGCUGUUGCCUCAGAGGCGUUUGCGAAUAAGAUUAUAGUUCAACCUCAAAUGAACAAGAAGGGAAAGACAACAGAAAACCUCGAGCCACAAGACAAAAAUG